rnacentral:lncRNA from 1 species
UUUAGGCUAAUGAAUCCUUCACCAUCUUUAACCCGCCAAAGCUUCAAGGCAAUCUGAUGUUCUAAUUGUGAUGAUUCAUCGUCGAUGAUAGUUGAGGUAGAAUGAAUGUAGCGGGUUAGAACUUGAAUGCUGGCAUAGCUAAUAAGGAUAAAAAUACAAAAGGUCCACUCAAGUAAACCAUAAAAAGUUUAGGGUAUAGGAUCAACCAAAGAUUGGUGAGAAGCAGUUGACUUGCUA